GGGCAGGUGGCAGAGUGGUCAAUUGCAUGAGACUGUAAAUCUCACGACUUAAAGUCUACGGGGGUUCAAAUCCCUCCCUGCCCA
rnacentral:tRNA from 1 species